AUUGACAAAUCCUGGCUUGGGGGAAAAACAGUGGGUGAGCCCUUGGUCCUGCUGUCCCAAGUCCAUCUCCAGAAGUAACUGCCUUGUUCACAGUCGGAUGGGCCCAGACCCUGCUCAUCUCCAGCUUCCCCCACCCUUCCAGGCUGCCGGGAUCCCUCAGCUCUGGGAUUGGCCUUUGCUGCUCUCCCCACUCUGAUGCCAAUGUCUCCCCCCCCCAAACUGGUACCACCUCCCCAGCCAGUACAGACAGUUUGCCACUGGAACCCUCCACAAGUCUCCAAAGCGGCAUCUGCGUCUCACCCUUGGGGACCUGCAAGAUCCAAACAUCCCCUACCCCGCAAACAAAUCCUCCCAGAGGCCCCCCCAGUGGAUUUGGGAAAGCUCAGCAGCUGUCAGAGGAUGAGCACCCACAAGCACUGAGGGGGCUGCAGGAGGGGCACAAGAAGGCCCUGCAGCACUUGGGCACAAAGGCACAGCAGCAACAUUAGAUUACAAGCUGCCCUCGGAAUAACCAACGAGACAGCUCCAGCUCCUGACCUUCCUGCUGAGCAAUCCACUGAAAUGAGGAACACAACCCUUAACCAUGGGAUGGGAUCAGAUCAUCUGUUAGCAGAAAAAAAGGGGAGUUUGUGGAAAAUUAAAUGACUCAUAUUGCUGUUAGCAAAUAGAGGACAAAGGAAACGUGGUGGAAAAAAAAAAAAAAAAAAAACAACAACGGAAACAAAAAAGCAGCUCAUGUAUUGGUCCAAACGUGAAAAGGAUGGGAAGGGGACACGGUUUUGUGGCCCCCUGACAGACCAUGGGUUACACGAAUGCUGUUUCCCCUCUGAUGUGCUACAGCAACUCUCAUCUUUCGACCAUGCUCCACACCUUGAAAGUGCAGCUCAUUCAGCAGCUGAGCGAGGGGCCAGGGAUUUGUCCAUAAGGAAGUAAGGGACGCAAUCACCAGCUUCAAUAAAUGUUACUAAUUAACAUGGACUGCUGCUCACAGAAAGUCCCGCUAAAUUUCUGAACUUCCAGAAGAACAAGGAUUUAACAGAGCCGUAAAUAUCGGCUGUUAUACAAAAGUGGGGGUGCACAAUAACGAGGACAUGCAGUUGCCGGAUCGGGAGGUCUGAACCUUCCAAGCACCUCUGCCAGUGGGCAAAGGGGGAGAGAGAUAAGGCGGGGCAAAAUGAGGAUAAAAAGGAGACUGAGAACUACAACAAUGGCAGAGAGCGCACGG